AUCUUCUAAAACCAUGAACUUAAAACUCCUCCUUUAAGUUGUGGUGUCAGUUUGCAGGAAAUUCGAGGGACAGAAGGAUUCCAAGCAAACAGCAUAAUCACAAAUACGACAAACUUUACCAUAUCUCUGCUUCCCCACUGCCCUGCCAUCAGCAGCUUCUCCUGUGCCAUUGCCAUCUUGCCUUGGAGACACCUGACUAUGGACUGAAAUCUCUAAAAACUGUGAGCCAAAAAUAAACUCUUCCUCCUUUAAGUUUAAGUGUCAGGUGUUGGGUCUCAGUAAUAAGAAAGUGACUAAGACAUGUAUUGUGUGUACCUGGUUUGAACAUGGACUUACAUAAACCGGUACUAAAAAAAUAAUGUAUGAAGCCAGGCAUAUUGGACACAUCUGUAAUCUCAGCACUUUGGGAGGCUGAGGCAGGAGGAUUAUGAGUUCAAGUCCUACAUGUGAGAGUGUCUCAAUAUUUUAAAACAAAAAGGAGUGGAGAUGUAGUUCAGUGUGAAGGCCCUGGAUUCAAACACUAAUACCAAUUUUAAAAAUGAGACAAAUAGAAGAAUCUGAACUGGCUAUUUGAUGGCAACAAAGAGUUUAGUGAAUAUUCAUGUGGGAUGAUAGUUUUGUAAUUAAAUUUCUAGUAGAAAUGGUGAUUAUAAUCGUAUAUUUCAAAAUUAUUUAAAGAGUAAAUGUUAAAUGUCCUCAUCACAUAAGAUUUAUAAGUCUGUGAGGUGAUGUGUUAAUUAGCUUACUUUAAUCAUUCUACAAUGUAAAUAUGUAUCAAAACAUCAUAUCAUAUCCCAAAAUACAUAUUUGUCAAUUAAAAAUAAGAUCUUUCUGCUGGGUGUAGUGAUGCACACCUGUAAUCCCAGCACUUGGGAGGCUGAGGCCAGAGGAUUGCUGUAAGUUCAAGGCCAGCCUGGGCUACAUAGAGAGUUCAAGGCCAACCUGCACUACAAAAUAAGACCCUGUCUCAAAAAAAUCUUUCUAAAAAUGACUCUUGACUAGGAUGGAGGGAAAUAGGUGAAAAGAAAUCAGUGUAUAAUUGAAAUUGCUUGAUAGGCAAUCAGGGUUCAUUAUAAUAUGUUCUCUAUCUCCAUGUAUCUCUGAAACUCGUCCAUACGAGAAAGCUAAAUGAGAAAAGUAGGAAGGAGUAGGUCCUGGCUCAGUCCUUUCAUUUUUCUUUCCAUCCCGCACCUGAUGCUCCCGGAGUCAUUUUGUUUAUAUUUAUUGUUUUUCCACCAAGAUAUGAGCUCAAGAGGAAGGGAUGUAGCUGUUUUGCCACUGCUCUAUCUCCAGUGUCUGUGUGUUGAGUGCAUAAAGAAAGCCAGAGACUGACAACAGCACUUCCACCCCAAGUGAAUAAAGACAGCCACCAUCCAGGACAAUUCAUGUGAUCAUGUACAAUUAAACAAGCCCACCAUCCACCUCUUGGAGAACCACUCAAGGGGUUAUGGAGGCUUCCACCUAGAUUUCAAAAGAAGGCCUGGGAGGCCAGGCUAAAACAUGUGACAGGUCACAGUCCUUGUCAGGGGCCCAAAAGGGCAAUUCAUGAAGCUGUUAGAGUGAAGCUGAAGGGGCAUUGGAGAGCCCAGGAAGUUGAUGUCAAAAAUGUGGAGGAUCUUCUGAGAAAAUCUGCAGGUUGUGAGGAUAGCCAGCCCAAGAGUGAGGCCAGGUAGGCUGCAACCAGCAAGGUCAUCAGAAGGAGCCAUCCAAAUGCUUCGGAAAUCACAUGUCCCCACAGCUUGCCCAAGUUCUGGACAUGGAGCUAUGAGAUUUAAUGUUUGCCCUACAGGGUUUCAGUCUUGCUUUGGUUUGCUUUCUUUCUCUUCUCCCAUUCCUCCCUUUUUAAAUGAGAAUGUUUACCCUGUGCCAUUGUAUGUUGGAAAUUUUUAACUUUCUCCUUUUUUUACAGGAGCUUACAGCUAAGAGUUUGCCUUGAAUCUCAGAGGAGACUGGACUUGUCAACAGUGCUGACUUUGACAAUCCUUAGAGAUGGACUAAAUGAAUUUUUGCAUAAUGAGAUGGACAUUACCCUUUUGGGGGCCAGGGUCCAGAAAGCUAUGGUUUAGAUCUAAAAAGUCCCCCCAACAUCUCAGGUACUCAGGUGUAAGGCUUUUGGAAGGUGAUUGCUCAGUCAUAGGGGCACUACAUUUAUCAGUGGACUAAUGCAUCGAUGAGCUCAUGACUGAAUUUGCUGUUAGGAGGGGAGCCUGGUUGGAGGUAGGUCACUGGGGGCAAGACCUGGAAAGGUAUAUUAUUGUCCCCAGCUCUUUCCUUCUGUCUCUGCUUCCUGGCAGCCACAGAUUGAGCAGCUUUCCUCUGCCAUUCCUUUCCACCAUGCUGUCUCUGCCUUGGAGCCAGCCAACCAUGAACUGAACCCACUAGAAAUUGUGAAAUAAAACUUUCCCCUUUAACGUCUAUCCAGGUGUCAGGUAUUUUUGUCCCAGUGAUAUGAAAGCGACUAAUACACCCACACACCACAUCCACAAAUGUAAAAGAAGAGGAGAGGCUUAGCAACUAUUUAAAACACAAACUUGGUGGUGUAUCCCAGGACUUGGAAUCCCAGCACUUGGGAAGCUGAGGGAUGAAGAAUGCUGUGAGUCUGGGGCCAGCCUGGGCUACAGAGUGAGUUCAAGUCCAGCCUGAACUACAUAGCAAGACCUUGUCUCAAAAAAACCAAAAACAACCAAAGCAAGAUCCUGUUUCAAAAAAAUAAUAAUAAUAAUAAAACACCCUCUUGGGGAACUGUGGGCUAGAAUGUGGCUAUUGGUGGCCUAAUGAAUAUUAAUUUUCCAUUACUUCACAAAUAGAAUCUCAGUUUUGCACAGCAUGGUACUUUACACGUGUAGUUGGAAAACAACAUUUUCCCAGGUCCCCUUGGAACUAGAGCUGGUCCUCUAAAACACUUUAGGCCAACAUAAUGUAAAAAAGUCACAAAGCCUACUUCUGAAAAAGUUUCUUAACAUGUGGUUGAUUGAGCAAAUCUUCCCCCAUUCUACCUGGAAUGUGGAUGUGAUUCUGUCAAUGGGGCAUUCUUCUUGCAAUCAGGAAGCAUCAUCAUCAUCAUCGUCAUCAUUAUCAUCAUAUAAAGGGGGACUCUAGAAACCUGGUAGCAUUAGAGGACCCUAGAUAGCCAACUUCUGGACUUCCUUGUUCUGAGGGGAGGGACUAUAUUAGGUUACGGCACAGUAAUAAAGUUUCUGUUGCACUGAAGUUGAUGCCAAUUCUGACAGUAAUAUGUUACUGUAAUAGUUUGUUUGGUUUUGUGUGGGGUUUUUUUUGGUACUGGGGAUCGAACUCAGGUCCUUGCGCUUGCGCAGCAGAUGGUGAAACCACUGAGCUAAAUCCCCAGCCCUGUUACUGUAAUAGUUAAACUGGUAAAAAGAACAGUGUGAGCACAACCUUAGAAAGGUUAGCAGUCUAACAAUGCACCAAAUUGCAGACGUACCCCUUAGAGCCCAGACUUUGGCCACCAUUCUCUUGUUCAGCCAGUCAGCAAAUCUGAAGGGGCUGAGUCCAUAGCUACACCACAGAAAAACAUGGGACCCCUAAAACACUCUGUCAUCAAAAACUGAGGUAGGUUGAAAGAUGGUAGGGACUGUGCUAAGAGGCAAGAGUAACCAAUGUUACAGGCUCUAAUUCAGUGUGACUAUUCAGGCAUUUAAUAAUUAUAAUACCAUGAACCAAGAGACUCAUGUAAAGGUACAAGAUCCCAAUGAUGAAUGUAACUGUAUUGUAUACCUAAA